UCAGCCUCGGUGCCGGCAUGCAGAGGGAUUUCAGCUGCAGUGGCUUGCGCAGGGAGAAAUGCUUAUGCCACUGGAGGUUGGAAGCAACAGCCUCCUCGAGUGCUGGGGUUCUUUGCGGGCUGGAGCCAGGAGGACACGUUCUCUGGGGCAGGGAUUGAUCGUCGGUGCCUCUACCGAGUGUGAGUGUAUGAACAGAUCCGGGGCAGCCCGCGGGCAGCGCGCCUGAGCCCUAGCUGUUCUGUGUUGGGACUGCAAGGCUUGUUUGGGAAAUCCCAUUCUAGCUUCAAUCCACAUCGAUUCCUGAAUCCUGCCACAUGCUAGCAGGACAUCUGAGGUCCACGCUGCCUUUCGAGACCAGAUAACAGCAGCAACAAAACAUUAAUAUGGACUUUGUCUUUAAAAGCCAAAUCUUUGAGAAUUAGUACUGGAAUGUGAAACUCUUACUUGUGCGGGACUUUAUUGGCAGAUCUAAGCAAACGUUGCAGCCUGUUCUAAGGUCUAGUUAGGUUUUCAGCUAAAGGAAACUUUGUUUUUCGUAUGGGCAUGAAGAAAUAUUUUUCUGGCUUUUUAAAGCUGUUUUCCUCUAACAAAAUAUAUUCAAUUGUCUAUCCAUCUUCCCUCAGAAAGUGUCACUGCAUUUUGUAUUAAAAAAAGAAAAAAGCCUCGCAGUGCCCUGUGAAAAAGAGCUGAUGCUUAUCUCACAGAUUGAGAAUGGGGAGUGGGAGUAAUGAAAGUGAAAGGGAUUUACUAGAACUAAUGAAGAAAAUCUGUGAUGGAAUUGAGAUUAGAAUCUUAAUCUGUUUAUAUCUCUACACCUUACUGUAGAUUUAGGUCAGCUCUUGCUGGGCUGAAACUGGGAUCGCUGAAAGCAGUGAAGCCUUCCUGAAACUUCAGAUGCAACAAAAGUUUUCCCAAAUGGCUGUUCAGAGAGGAGCGUGUGGAACAAUCGUCUGGACCCGCAGAGUUAAUGGCACAUGUUCUGCCCCUUUGGAGAAAGCCGAAUUUUAUGUUGGUGGGCCCCCCUCCCUGGCCAAGCAGCGCCAGGUUCACUUAAGUAAGAAAGCAGAAUGGGAACAAUCGGAGAGGAACUCCCUUAACUGUGACACUGCAUAGAAAAGGCUGCGGUCUGUGGAUUUCACAACAGCUUUUCUUUAAAACUUACCUUAAUAUUUCAUCCAUCUUACCCAUCUAGUUCCUGCAGGUAACAGUCAGGAGUUACGGAUUCAGAUGUCAUGAAAAUCAGUGAACGGUUUUGUGGCAUAAUUUCUUUUUUAUUGAUAGGUAUUGUGAUAGCAGGGACUGUUUGUGGGUCUGAGGUUUGGCAUCGCCAACAGAGGAACUAAGGCACAAUCCGAUAUGGGUGUACAAGACAGAAACAGAGCGUGCAAGACUCCCCUAGGCAGGUUUGGGCAAAAUACGACACUGCACGAAGGGAGAACAGAAGGAAAGUGGCAGAACGUGGAGGGGGAAAAACUGCAGAACAGCAGGAAGAGAGACUGAGAGGGAAGAGGAUUUGUAGAGGUAGUAGAAGAGAGGCGGAGGAAAAGCAGAAGCCAAGUGUCUAUGGAAGCAAAUGAAAUAUUUGGUAUGAUAAAAGCUGGCAAAGGCUGGCAGAGCUAGAUCAGUAACGGGAGGAAGAAGGAGUUAACAGCACUUGCUGCAGCACUUUCUGUGCCGUUGGCCUCUCCUACGCCCCUGUACCACCGCUUUGUCCGUGUCAGUCUUCCAGAUACGCAGAGAAAAUUCCAGCUCGGCCUCCAGUGAUUUGGUCUGUUUCUCUGAGUCUUUGCUUCUGGCUCUGAAUUCUCCAGGGGGACCAGAGGGCAGCAAAGGGCUUAAACAACAACUUUUUUUUUUUUUUUUUAACUUUCUCUUCAUUGAAGUACGUGGUCUCUUCCAGCAUUAGUCUGAAGCUUCAUUUAGUAGAGGAAACUUUGCAUUUAAUCCACAGGCUUAUUAGGGAAACAGCACAGCAGGAAACUAGUUAGACUGUUGAGUAGAAAAUAGACUUGCUAAUAAACCUCUUGUUCUCAUUACCGUCCCAAGAUGCUGAACACUUUUUGUUUUGAUAAACAGAAGUCGGUGAUUUUGGAUGACACUUCCUUGGGUUUUUUUCCUUAAAUUAAUACCUUGCAGUCUGGUUCAAAGGCAAGAAAAUGGGGUAUUUCAGACAGAAUUGUACAUUUCUUGUAUACAACUCAUCCCUUUGCUUGACACCUAUAAUCACAAAGAAAAUAAAAACUUGGCUUUUUUGUAUCAGUG